rnacentral:rRNA from 1 species
CCUAGUACGAGAGGACCGGAGUGGACGCAUCACUGGUGUUCGGGUUGUCAUGCCAAUGGCACUGCCCGGUAGCUAAAUGCGGAAGAGAUAAGUGCUGAAAGCAUCUAAGCACGAAACUUGCCCCGAGAUGAGUUCUCCCUGAGACUUUAAGUCUCCUGAAGGAACGUUGAAGACGACGACGUUGAUAGGCCGGGUGUGUAAGCGCAGCGAUGCGUUGAGCUAACCGGUACUAAUGAACCGUGAGGCUUAACCUU